UCGGUGUGACUGGUUGUAAUUGUGUAGCACGUUGUCAAUGUUGCAGUGUCUGUUUGUCUGAAUGAGUAACUUUUUUUAAUCAUGCUACUGUACGAACAUUCGGAAAGGUCGCGGCUCAGAGCCCGGGGUCAGAGGUCAGGACGAGCACUUUCCACCUGCACCGAUCGCAACUGGUAAUGGCGGAAUAGAGCGUGCAGGAAUUGGAAUGUAAGCCAACUGGAAGGUUUCCAGUUCCAGAGGCAGCAAAGCCGCCCACAGCACCGCGGGGCCUCCGCCAUGCUUCACCGUGAGCCCGGCGUUCUGUUCGCCAUCGGCUUCAUUCUUCUGCCCCAAAGCUCCAGUUUUGAUUCGUCGCUGCACAGAACAGAAUUACGAAGCUUUGGUGGCUUAUUUACAUGGUUUUCAGUGUUUACUGCUGCAGGUGUGUGUUCGCUCGAGGGUUUUUCACCGCUUGUCUCCUCGGGAAUCUGGUGGUUUCCUCUUCCUGCCACGUCCAGGAAGUGCAGCCACUGUUCCUCCAACCGCAUCUGCAGGGGCAUUUCUUGCUUUUGCUCUCGUCUUGUGGCCUCCUCCUUGAUGCUGCUGAUCUCUGUUGUGAACUUCAUGGACCUUUUCUAUUGACUUAUUUAUAACAUGCGAUCAAACGUCCCUCUCAACAAACCCCUGGCACACCUGAACUAAGGUAGCCCUUGAUUCGCUGCACCGCGUGUCCCUGAGACAGAGGGUUGAAUCAUUUCCAGGUUUGAAGAUGCUUGUUAAGAAGGGGUUGAUUAUAAUAAUAAUGUAAUACAAUUAAUUAUAUUACUUUUUUCACUCCUGCUGUUAGAAGACAUGAAACUGCAGUUAGACUUUGAAUCAGCGCCGGCGUCUGUCGGAACAUUUCCAGUUAAAUAGUAGCUGUUAGCUGAAAUGCUGCCAAAAACACAUCCUGUCCAAUCAAUAAAUGACAGAGAUGUUAAACUCAGAUGUGUCUUUGACUUACAUUACACAUUUAUGUGUGUGUGUGUGUGUGUG
ensembl:lncRNA